rnacentral:rRNA from 1 species
GACGAACCGUGCGAACGUUAUUCGGAAUCACUGGGCUUAAAGCGCGUGUAGGCGGAUGGGUGCGUCGGCUUCUGAAAGCCCCCGGCUCAACCGGGGAAGUGGGGCCGAAACGACCCGUCUGGAGGGACGUAGGGGGAUCUGGAACUUCCGGUGGAGCGGUGAAAUGCGUUGAGAUCGGAAGGAACGCCCGUGGCGAAAGCGGGGUCCUGGACGUCUUCUGACGCUGAGACGCGAAAGCCAGGGGAGCGAACGGG